rnacentral:rRNA from 1 species
GCCGAAGGAUCGGCCCGCGUCCGAUUAGCUAGUUGGUGAGGUAACGGCUCACCAAGGCGACGAUCGGUAGCUGGUCUGAGAGGAUGAUCAGCCACAUUGGGACUGAGACACGGCCCAAACUCCUACGGGAGGCAGCAGUGGGGAAUAUUGCGCAAUGGGCGAAAGCCUGACGCAGCGACGCCGCGUGGGGGAUGAAGCUUCUCGGAGUGUAAACCCCUUUCGACUGGGACGAAUGCCUCGCAAGAGGAGUGACGGUACCAGUAGAAGAAGCCCCGGCUAACUACGUGCCAGCAGCCGCGGUAAGACGUAGGGGGCCAGCGUUGUUCGGAAUUACUGGGUGUAAAGGGUUCGUAGGCGGUGCGGCAAGUUGGGAGUGAAAUCUCUGGGCUUAACCCAGAGGCUGCUUCCAAAACUGCCGUGCUCGAGUGUGGGAGAGGCGCGUGGAAUUGCAGGUGUAGCGGUGAAAUGCGUAGAUAUCUGCAGGAACACCCGUGGCGAAAGCGGCGCGCUGGACCACAACUGACGCUGAGGAACGAAAGCUAGGGGAGCAAACAGGAUUAGAUACCCUGGUAGUCCUAGCCCUAAACGA